GCAAACUUGGUCAUUUAGAGGAAGUAAAAGUCGUAACAAGGUCUCCGUAGGUGAACCUGCGGAGGGAUCAUUAGAAACGCAACGGAGCAACGUCCGUUGAGGGUUGCGCCGGGAAGACAGUUCCAAGAGCUCGACCGGCGUAAUCUUACCAUCCCCCUUGGUGUACCUUUGUUUCCUCGGCAGGCCUGCCUGCCAGCGAGGACCCCAUAAACCUUUUGCAGUAAGAAGUACCAGUCUUAUCAAAAACAAAUCGUUUACAACUUUCAACAAUGGAUCUCUUGGUUCUGGCAUCGAUGAAGAACGCAGC
rnacentral:misc_RNA from 1 species